rnacentral:rRNA from 1 species
AUCGACUUUCUCGUCGCAUAAAACAACUGACUCAGAACUGAAGCGGACAAGGGGAAUCCGACUGUUUAAUAAAAACAUAGCUUUGUGAUGGCCUGAAAAGGUGUUGACACAAAGUGAUUUCUGCCCAGUGCUUUGAACGUGAAUAUGAAGUAAUUUGUAGAAGCUCAGGUAAAACGGCGGGAGUAACUAUGACUCUCUUAAGGUAGCCAAAUGCCUCGUCAUCUAAUUAGUGACGCGCAUGAAUGGAUCAAUGAGAUUCCCACUGUCCCUAUUUACUAUUUAGCGAACCCACAGUCAAGGGAACGGGCUUGAAAUAAUCAGCGGGGAAAGAAGACCCUGUUGAGCUUGACUCUAGUCCGACUUUGUGAAAUGACUAACGAAGUUUAGCCUUAGGUGGGAGCCAACGCGCC